rnacentral:lncRNA from 1 species
AGCACAGCACGAGGCAGAGGAACGGAGACAGGUCCUCGGAAGCCUCUUUCCAGAAAAUCUAAUUUCAUCAUUGAGAAAUCUUCUGUCUUAAACAGCCUCCACCACCGCCAUAAAUUUACAUAUUCUAUAUGCCGCCGGAACGGAGUGGGCCCUAUUUGCAUAAUGCUGCUGGAGGGGCUCACGCUCCUCUUGAACCUGAAUGUAGCAGGAGCGAGGAAGCAAUUAUUAAGCUGUAGACGUUGGCAGGGAGAGAGGCCUCAGAUGGAUUUCGACUCCAAACCUCAUUCGCCAGGGCUGCUCAUUACCGAAGGCCUGGAUCCCAGGCUGAAGGUGGAUCCCAGGGCUGGGAAAAAUCAGUGUGAAUUGCUUUCUCCAGGUUAUGUCUGCAGCCAGGCCGAGGCCAGAUAUGGUGAUUCAUUGCCUUGCUCAGCCAUUUAUUCAACAAUCACUAUAUCAUAUCCCCACUAAGGAGAGAGGUUAAGAUGGAGUCACAGUAGUAUUGGAAGUGACUGGGAGUAAAAUAAUGGAUGUGAGAAGCUCUCAAGAGGUACACGAAGGAUUGCAUAAAACUCUAAAAUGUUUAGAACCCUGGUAUCUGAGCCAAUGAUUCUGGAACUGUGGCCUAAAGAAUUCAGCCCUUCCACUCCCAAGGCUCCCCACUCCAUCCCCAUGAUAAGCCAAAGUUGAGUACUCUGGACACCAGAAUAAUAAGUGGGAAAGAGAGCGACGGGUCUGAUGAG